rnacentral:rRNA from 1 species
AGCGAAGCGUAUUAGCGGAAGUUUUCGGAUGGAAGCGGAUAUGACUUAGCGGCGGACGGGUGAGUAACGCGUGGAUAACCUGCCUCAUACAGGGGGAUAACAGUUAGAAAUGACUGCUAAUACCGCAUAAGCGCACAGGACCGCAUGGUCCGGUGUGAAAAACUCCGGUGGUAUGGGAUGGAUCCGCGUCUGAUUAGCUGGUUGGUGAGGUAACGGCCCACCAAGGCGACGAUCAGUAGCCGACCUGAGAGGGUGGCCGGCCACAUUGGGACUGAGACACGGCCCAAACUCCUACGGGAGGCAGCAGUGGGGAAUAUUGCACAAUGGGGGAAACCCUGAUGCAGCAACGCCGCGUGAGUGAAGAAGUAUUUCGGUAUGUAAAGCUCUAUCAGCAGGGAAGAAGAAAGACGGUACCUGACUAAGAAGCCCCGGCUAACUACGUGCCAGCAGCCGCGGUAAUACGUAGGGGGCAAGCGUUAUC